rnacentral:rRNA from 1 species
GACGAACGCUGGCGGUGUGCUUAACACAUGCAAGUCGAACGGUAAGGCCCUUUCGGGGGUACACGAGUGGCGAACGGGUGAGUAACACGUGAGUAACCUGCCCUCAUCUCUGGGAUAACAGUCGGAAACGGUUGCUAAUACUGGCUAUGAGCUUGCACGGCAUCUUGUGGGUUGGAAAGAUUUUUUUGGUUGGGGAUGGACUCGCGGCCUAUCAGCUUGUUGGUGAGGUAGUGGCUCACCAAGGCUUCGACGGGUAGCCGGCCUGAGAGGGCGACCGGCCACAUUGGGACUGAGAUACGGCCCAAACUCCUACGGGAGGCAGCAGGGGGGAAUAUUGCACAAUGGACGGAAGUCUGAUGCAGCAACGCCGCGUGCGGGAUGACGGCCUUCGGGUUGUAAACCGCUUUCAAUUGUGACGAAGCUUUUUGUGACGGUAGCAGUAGAAGAAGCACCGGCUAACUACGUG